GCUUGGAAGCAGCCAUUCAUUUAAAGAGUGCGUAACAGCUCACUAGUCGAGGAGUUUGGCGUGGAUAAUAAUCGGGCAUAAGUAUUCUACCGAAGCUUUGGGAUGAGAAAUCAUCGGUAGGGGAGCAUUCCACUCUGCGUCGAAGGUGAAGCGCGAGCUUUGCUGGAGCGUGUGGAAAAGCAAAUGUAGGUAUAAGUAACGAUAAAGGGGGUGAGAAACCCCCUCGCCGAAAGACUAAGGUUUCCUGAUCAACGCUAAUCGGAUCAGGGUUAGUCGGGUCCUAAGGCUCAGCCGAACGGUGAGGCCGAUGGCAGAACAGGUUAAUAUUCCUGUACUACCUUAAAGAGUGACGUGGAGACGGAGGCGUGACAGUGCCGCGAACUGACGGAAUAGUUCGUUGAAGGGUGUAGAUGUUGAUCGGGGCAGGCAAAUCCGCUCCGAGAGUCGAACCUGAUAGUAUGGAGCGUUCUUCGGAACAAUCCAAUAGUGCAUGUAAGCAUACUCCCAAGAAAAUCCGCUAAACUUAAUCUUUAAGGUACCCGUACCGCAAACGGACACACGUAGUCGGGUUGAAUAUACUAAGGCGCUUGAGUGAUUCACGGUUAAGGAACUAGGCAAAUUGACCCUGUAACUUCGGGAUAAAGGGUCCCAACGAGAGUUGGGCGCAGAGAAUAGGUCCAGGCAACUGUUUAACAAAAACACAGGGCUGUGCUAAAUUGAAAGAUUACGUAUACAGCCUGACACCUGCCCGGUGCUGGAAGGUUAAGAGGAGAUGUCAUCGCAAGAGAAGCAUUGAAUUGAAGCCCCAGUAAACGGCGGCCGUAACUAUAACGGUCCUAAGGUAGCGAAAUUCCUUGUCGGGUAAGUUCCGACCUGCACGAAUGGUGUAACGAUCUGGACACUGUCUCAACCGUGAGCUCAGUGAAAUUGUAGUAUCGGUGAAGAUGCCGAUUACCCGCGAUGGGACGAAAAGACCCCGUGAACCUUUACUAUAGCUUAACAUUGAAUUUGGGUAAUUGAUGUGUAGGAUAGGCCGGAGGCUUUGAAGCGGGCACGCCAGUGUCCGUGGAGCCGCUGUUGAAAUACGGCCCUUUGAUUAUUUGAGUUCUAACCCGUUGUUGCGGGGACACUGUUUGGUGGGUAGUUUGACUGGGGUGGUCGCCUCCAAAAGUGUAACGGAGGCUUCUAAAGGUGCCCUCA
rnacentral:rRNA from 1 species